UACGUAGGGUGCAAGCGUUGUCCGGAAUUAUUGGGCGUAAAGAGCUCGUAGGCGGCUUGUCGCGUCGACCGUGAAAACUUGGGGCUCAACCCCGAGCCUGCUUCCGAUACGGGCAGACUAGAGGUAGGCAGGGGAGAGCGGAACUCCUGGUGUAGCGGUGGAAUGCGCAGAUAUCAGGAAGAACACCGGUGGCGAAGGCGGCUCUCUGGGCCUUACCUGACGCUGAGGAGCGAAAGCGUGGGUAGCGAACAGG
rnacentral:rRNA from 1 species